GUGAGGAAUAUUGCGCAAUGCCCGCAAGGGUGACGCAGCGACGCCGCGUGGAGGAUGAAGGCCCUACGGGUCGUAAACUCCUUUUAUGAGGGAAUAAUUUCCCGCUACAUGCGGGAUUGAAGGUACCUCAGGAAAAAGCAUCGGCUAACUACGUGCCAGCAGCCGCGGUAAUACGUAGGAUGCGAGCGUUGUCCGGAUUUACUGGGUGUAAAGGGAGCGCAGGCGGGAUAAUAAGUCGGCGGUGAAAUUCUCAGGCUUAACCUGAGAACUGCCAUCGAUACUGUUAUUCUUGAGUACAGAAGAGGUUGAUGGAAUUCUAGGUGUAGCGGUGAAAUGCGUAGAUAUCUAGAAGAACACCGAUGGCGAAGGCAGUCAACUGGUCUGUUACUGACGCUCAUGCUCGAAAGCGUGGGGAUCAAACAGGAUUAGAAACCCCGGUAGUCC
rnacentral:rRNA from 1 species